rnacentral:rRNA from 1 species
GUGCCAGCAGCCGCGGUAAUACAGAGGGUGCAAGCGUUGCUCGGAAUCAUUGGGCGUAAAGGGUAGGUAGGUGGUCUCAUUUGUCUGGGGUGAAAGCCUUGGGCUUAACCCAAGAAGUGCCCCAGAAACGGUGAGACUCGAGUGCUGGAGAGGGUCGUGGAAUUCCCGGUGUAGCGGUGAAAUGCGUAGAGAUCGGGAGGAACACCAGAGGCGAAGGCGGCGACCUGGACAGCUACUGACACUCAACUACGAAAGCGUGGGGAGCAAACAGGAUUAGAUACCCCGGUAGUCC